rnacentral:rRNA from 1 species
UCGAAAGAAAGAUUAAUACCGGAUAGCAUACGAAUAUCGCAUGAUAUUUUUAUUAAAGAAUUUCGGUUAUCGAUGGGGAUGCGUUCCAUUAGUUCGUUGGCGGGGUAACGGCCCACCAAGACAACGAUGGAUAGGGGUUCUGAGAGGAAGGUCCCCCACAUUGGAACUGAGACACGGUCCAAACUCCUACGGGAGGCAGCAGUGAGGAAUAUUGGUCAAUGGGCGAGAGCCUGAACCAGCCAAGUAGCGUGAAGGAUGAAGGCUCUAUGGGUCGUAAACUUCUUUUAUAUGGGAAUAAAGUUUUCCACGUGUGGAAUUUUGUAUGUACCAUAUGAAUAAGGAUCGGCUAACUCCGUGCCAGCAGCCGCGGUAAUACGGAGGAUCCGAGCGUUAUCCGGAUUUAUUGGGUUUAAAGGGAGCGUAGGUGGAUUGUUAAGUCAGUUGUGAAAGUUUGCGGCUUAACCGUAAAAUUGCAGUUGAAACUGGGAGUCUUGAGUACAGUAGAGGUGGGCGGAAUUCGUGGUGUAGCGGUGAAAUGCUUAGAUAUCACGAAGAACUCCGAUUGCGAAGGCAGCUCACUAGACUGUCACUGACACUGAUGCUCGAAAGUGUGGGUAUCAAACA